rnacentral:rRNA from 1 species
AUUGAACGCUGGCGGCAGGCCUAACACCUGCAAGUCGAACGAGUGGCGGACGGGAGAGUAAGGUCAGGGAAAAUGCCAGAUGGAGGGGGAUAACUAAUGGAAACGGUAGCUAAUACCGCAUACCAUCGGAUGUGCCCAGAUGGGAUGAGCUAGUAGGUGGGGUAAAGGCUCACCUAGGCGACGAUCCCUAGCUGGUCUGAGAGGAUGACCGGCCAAACUGGAACUGAGACACGUUCCAGACUCCUACGGGAGGCAGCAGUGGGGAAUAUUGGAAAAUGGGCGCAAGCCGGAUGCAGCCAUGCCGCGUGUAUGAAGAAGGCCUUCGGUUUGUAAAGUACUUUCAGCAGGGAGGCGUUACCCGCAGAAGAAGCACCGGCUAACUCCGUGCCAGCAGCCGCGGUAAUAC